rnacentral:rRNA from 1 species
UACGGAGGGUGCAAGCGUUGUCCGGAUUUAUUGGGUUUAAAGGGUGCGUAGGUGGCCCUGUAAGUCAGUGGUGAAAUACUGCAGCUUAACUGUAGCAUUGCCAUUGAUACUGUAGGGCUUGAGUACAGAUGAGGUAGGCGGAAUUGAUGGUGUAGCGGUGAAAAUGCAUAGAUACCAUCAAGAACACCGAUUGCGAAGGCAGCUUACUAAGCUGUAACUGACGCUGAGGCACGAAAGCGUGGGGAUCGAACAGG